CAUGUGUUCUUCCUGGAUGAAGUGACUAGGAAAGAAGCCAGAGGCUGGGCUGGGAUGCCUGCAAGAUAGGCCAUGGGUGAAGAUGUACAUGGAGGAGUCGUUGCUACUUUCCAGAUUGCUUUCUACCAUUUUGAGUCCAGCCUGAACUCCUUGUUCAGAGAUGUAUAAUUGCGUGUGAAAACACAUCUUUGUUUGAGCAGACUGAAACUCUAAAGGAAUCCAAGUCACUCCCUUACCACCCAGUAGAUCCCAGGGAUACAUGUACACUGGUGGUAUGUACCAGGUGGUUCAGUGACACAGAAGUAUGCCUGGUACUGUCACCUGAAAAUGUGAAUGACUUGCACAUCAGCAGACCAUUUUCCCUGCUGAUGAGCAGACCAUGCAUUUCCAGAAGAUGCUUCCAUCUGCGCAAAUCCUUCUCUACAUAUUCUCUGCUUUCUUUGAUCAGAACUCCAUCAUCAGUGAACAUCAUUCACCAGGAGGCAUCCUUCUGUGUGUCCCUGGUGUAUGCAUUCAGGACUAGCUCAAAGAAGAACAGGCUCAACACAGAUGAGAAUUGUACAAAGGAUCCUGGAGCCCUCAGUGCAGAGCUCUUCCCAGAUCGCAUGGACUAAAACAUGGGCCCACCAUUCACCCUUUCUGAGAACUGGCAACUCAAGUGUCUAAGGCCCAGGUAAGGGAAGAUGCUCUAAACUCUACUCUUCCAUAAGUUACUGACUGGCAUCUUUCAUUUUUAAUAUGGGGAGAUGGAGAGUCAUCCUGGUAACGUGUUAGUGGGUCUUAAUGCCCAGCCAUUUGCCUUUUUGCUGCAACAGCUCUCAUAGACCUAAAAUAGGACUGAUCUCUGACUCUCUACCUCAAGGCUGAAUACACCUUUGCUCAGUCUUGCUUUAUGAUUGUGAAUAUUUUUGUUUUCAGUCCAGCACCAAAAAGCCUUGUCUACAGGAUAUCUGGUAAAGAAAUUCAGGUGACUUACUGCAGAAGCUAUGACAAGAAAGAACUAAAAACAAUCACUGCAAAGGUCUAAAAUGAGACGGGGAAACAAAUGUGAGACUGAGAUGGGACACUCAAGAAUGAGCGUCCCCUGGGAUAGAAGAAUAAAGGGAGGCCAGCAUGGAGAUGGAGUGGUACAAAGGGCCAAUGCCUUGCAGGGUGGACCACCCAUUUUUACAUUUUCACCAACUUAUAGAGUCCAGCUCCUCCAAGAAGCCAAAAAUAACUGCUCACAUCUUUCCCAAAAGAUCUCAGACUGGCCAAACCCCCUUCUCAAAAAAAAACCCAACCCUACCCCUAACAGUUCUAAUAAUUAAAAGAUUGUUUGUCUCA